CAAAUACUCCGUCCUUACGGAAAUACUUGUCAUCAAAAUGGAUAAAAGGAAAUGUAUCUAGACGUAUUUUAGUUUUAGAUACAUCUCUUUUUAUCCAUUUUGAUGACAAGUAUUUUCGGACGAAGGGAGUAGAAA
rfam:Triticum aestivum genome assembly, contig: Triticum_aestivum_CS42_TGACv1_scaffold_572510_7AS